rnacentral:rRNA from 1 species
UAAAACUCAAAUGAAUUGACGGGGGCCCGCACAAGCGGUGGAGCAUGUGGUUUAAUUCGAUGCAACGCGAAGAACCUUACCUGGUCUUGACAUCCACAGAACUUUCCAGAGAUGGAUUGGUGCCUUCGGGAACUGUGAGACAGGUGCUGCAUGGCUGUCGUCAGCUCGUGUUGUGAAAUGUUGGGUUAAGUCCCGCAACGAGCGCAACCCUUAUCCUUUGUUGCCAGCGGUCCGGCCGGGAACUCAAAGGAGACUGCCAGUGAUAAACUGGAGGAAGGUGGGGAUGACGUCAAGUCAUCAUGGCCCUUACGACCAGGGCUACACACGUGCUACAAUGGCGCAUACAAAGAGAAGCGACCUCGCGAGAGCAAGCGGACCUCAUAAAGUGCGUCGUAGUCC